GACGAACGCUGGCGGCGUGCCUAAUACAUGCAAGUAGGACGCAGUUGCGAACGGGUGAGUAACGCGUAGGUAACUACCUAUUAGAGGGGGAUAACUAGUGGAAACGAUAGCUAAUACCGCAUAAUAGUAGAUGGUACUGCGGUGUAUUAGCUAGUAGGUAGGGUAAGGGCCUACCUAGGCUACGAUACAUAGCCGACCUGAGAUGGUGAUCGGCCACACUGUGACGGAUGCACGGCCCAGACUCCUACGGGAGGCAGCAGUAGGGAAUCUUCGGCAAUGGGGGGAACCCUGACCGAGCAACGCCGCGUGAGUGAAGAAGGUUUUCGGAUCGUAAAGCUCUGUUGUUAAGGAAGCGGUACUUAACCAGAAAGGGACGGCUAACUACGUGCCAGCAGCCGCGGUAAUUC
rnacentral:rRNA from 1 species